CGACGAGGAGCUGCGUGCCGUGCUCGCGCUGUCGGCCAUAGAGCACGAGGCGCACCAGUCGCAGCUGGUGGACGAGCAGCGCGCGCUCAGUGAGGCGCUGCGGCUGUCACUGCUGGACGAAUAGCGCGCAGGGCGCGGAACUUCAAGCUGACGUUCAAAUAGAGAGAAGAAGUGAGUGGCUUAAUGUCGCGGUGCGCCUCGCUGUCAUUGUAUACGAGUACCGCAGCGUAUUGCGCAUGCGUGUACGCAGACCCCUGUACCAUAAUAUUAUGUUAAAUUUAAGUAUUUAUUUUGUAACGUUUAAUGAACUAUUAGCGUUUAUCUAGAUUAUGUAACUAUGAUUGUUGUUUAUCAGUUACAACUAUUAUUUUAAUAUAACAGAAAAAACAUUGACAUGUAAGGUUAGACUGAGAUUUAUAGAGCGUGCUUUGACUUUGAUCAGACUUAGAUAGAGAGUUAAGUCGUGGUGGGUAUUUAUAGACAUUUCUUGGCUAGAUUAUGGGUACCACCCAAUACCCAAUAAACGGCGCCUAUUUCUGUGUUUCGUUCUGAAGGCCACUUGCACGGGACACGAGAGGUCGUGGGUUCGAGUCCCGCAUCGUUCAUAAAAUUUUAUUUUUUAUUUACAUUUUGUAAUUUAAAUUACAGGGCAAAUGAGACUUAACAUCUUACAUCUCAAGGUGACGAGUGCAAUUGAGGUGCUGCUCAGAAUUUUUGGGUUUUUCAAGAAUCCUGAGUGGCAAUGCAUUGUAAUAGGCAGGGCGUAUGAAUUACCAUCAGCUGAACGUCCUGCUCGUCUCGUCCCUUAUUUUCAUAAAAAAAUAAUAAUUUGAAAACAAUUUUUUUUAACGAUGCGGGUCUCGAACCCACGACCCGAGAGGUCGUGCGAGUGCUCUUCCAACUGAGCUAACCGUUCGAGUGACGUAUCGUCAUAAAAUCUUGUAUGCUUUGUUCAAUUCUCAGGUUGUAGCUUCAUCUACAGGAUCUACUUUACAUUUGAUAACCUGCUCAACCCCAAUAUUUGCAUAUUAUUAGGAAAUUGACUUGAGAUGUCGCUCUUGUAAAUCUAAACAAUUUGUCAUGUUUUUAAAGUGAUGACCCUCACUUCUAGGAUUAAUACACAAAAAAAUUAAUCCUAGAAGUGAGGUAAAGUAAUAAACUUUAAAAACAUGACAAAUAGUAUAAAUUUGCUAAGUUUAAGCUAUAGUCCCCUAGACGACCUAACAAACCUUUUUCAACGUUUUAAAAUUACCGUAUUAUAGAUACAUUGGUGUAGGCUUAGAAUAAUAACACCUAGAUCAUGAGUAGGCCCAAGCGAAAUGAAGCAGUUUCAAUGUGGUCGUUUAUGACCACAUACGUUUCCCGCCGCGUCAGUGUCAUUCUGUCAACUUCCAGGACAAUCAGUGCGCGAAAUUAAAUUGAAAAAAUGACUUACUGUGCAGUGAAAGGGUGUCUCAAAGCGUCUUAUAAUAAAAAUUAUGAUAAGAAAAUCACAUUUCACACCUAAAUACAAUUUCACAACUUUUAAGUUAAGCUAAUAUAUUGGCCAAAACAGCAAAAUAUUUUGUAGACAAAACAGACGCAAUUAAAAAAAUAUGUUGCCAGUUAUGAAAGUACUGUAUAUUCCAAGUUCCUCCGCUGGGAUAGUUUUUUUUUGUGUUUAUUGGUAGAUUGAUAGGGGCCUAUAAUUUACGACGCCACAUGAUGUUAUAAGUAUUCAAAGUCAAAGUCAAAUAAUCUUAAUUCAAUUAGGCUUAAACUAAGCGCUUUGAAUAGACACUAUAAAUAUUUAUUUUAACCUGCACCCUCGAGAACCUCGGAUUCGAUAUCAAUCACGUUGAAAUCAUUAAUUUUCGCCAUCUUGGAUUUAAAAAAUGAUCCCAAAUUCGUUCUCUCGGAUAACCUCGGAUAUUGCUGGGAACGGCGCCUCUAUCGUCUCGCUUUUUCGUUUCAUCGAGUUUCAAUAACCACCGAUUCUAAAGAACUUACACUUCAAAAAUUGUUGCAACAACAAUUAAAUACGUGCUGUUUUUAUUAAAUUCUUAAUUUAUAUCUUAUUUCUACUUUCUUUAUUACAUAUAAUCUAGUAUUUCUUACAAUUGACCGAUUUAGGGAAAUGUCUAUUCACUUGCAACAUAAUUUGGCUGUCUGUGUGCGUGUUGGCGAAUGUAAGUACGUGACGCUCACGCACACAUUCAUUAUAAUGUUACUUCUAUAUCGACAGGAACUAUGAAUGAAACUAUCGUUCUGAGCGUUAUUAUUCUAUGGGUGUAGGUACAUUAGUUGUUACCUGUCAUCAACGUGUGUACAAUUUUUUUGUCACGCAUCUUAAAAUGCGUUCCGUUUCUCAUACCAUAAACAAAAAUAAACAAGAUCGCAUUUCGCAAUCAUGUAUAAAUAAAUAAUCGUUCAUCGAUUUCCCCUUAUUUCAAUAAAACUAAUUAUCAAAUAAGUUUUGGGAUACUGUUGUAUUUUACUAUACUUUCUAUUGUAACAGUGAAUUUAUUUUUAUGAAAAUAAGACGAGCGGUAAGUUCAGCUGAUGGUAAUUGAUACGCCCUGCCUUAUAUGCAUUGCAGUACCGCUCAAGAUUAUUGAAAAACCCAAAAAUUCUGAGCGGCAUUACAGCUGCGCUCGUCACCUUGAGACAGCCAGUAAUUUCACUAGCUACGACGAUCGAAACACAGUAAUGCUUACACAUUACUGCUUCACGGCAGAAAUAGGCGCCGUUGUGGUACACAUAAUCUAGCGGGCAUCCGUUGCAAAGGAGCCUCCCACUGGUAAAUAAUUAAUAGUUACUAUUUAAUAGUAAUAGACAAUGUACUGUGUAUAAUGAAACGCGCACUAUACUUUUUUACUGGCCUGUAUUUUAAAUACCAAAUCAAAGUUUGUACUGAACUUGAACUCGGGUAAGAUUUACCAAAGUGAAGUCUGAGCAAAGUCUGAGUACGGUCUAUAGAUGUAAGCCUCUCAAUCAAAACAAAAUGACUCUGACAAUUGGACGUAAUUCCAGAAAAACUUUUCAAACCACAAUCAUAUCGAAAUUGAGUUAGGAACAGUUUUGUAUUCCUAACUGUGGGCACGUGAUUCAUAUUAACGAACUAACAAAAAAUGGCAGUCCUGUCAUUCUGCAAAUGACAUCACGACUUAGUAGCCCAACACAAAUGUAUGGAAUACACUAAUAUUUAUUAAAAUUGAAACACGAAUUCCUUAAAAUGUGAUGUUUAUGGAUUGGUACGUUUUUCAGGGACUACGUCCAAUUAUAAAUGUAUUUUAUUCAGUUUGACUAUUAUGGUAUGUUUAUUUAGUCGUUCGAUGAAGGUUCCAAGAUUAACCUUCGAGCAGGGGCGUGCAUAUCAUAUAGGCAAUUAGGCAGUGCCUACCUUGUUAAUAACAUACAUAAAUAUAGCACUAGUGUUAAAGCUGAUUUAAUUUGGUUCCUUACGCUAAAUCCUAAAUACCUAUGGUAGGCAGUCCGUCUCCAGAUUGCAUAUUCGAUAAACAACUUCAAUAUUUAGACCUCAAAACCUAGUAAUGUCGGACUAAACGCAACUACGACUAAUUAAAUCUAGAGUGUCUACCUUGCUAGAAAACCAAUGCACGCCCCUGCCUUCGAGCUAUGAUUAUGGAUAAGUUAAUUAAAAAAAAUCUUACAUGUAAAUAAUUAUGUUUUGUCAUAUUUAAUCGUGUACACGUUUGAAACGAAAUGUUUCCAAAGUUUAAUCUAAAAAAUGAACGUUUUAUUCUUUAUGACAUAGUCUUAGAUAAUUUAUAUGUCUAGAUAGAGCCUCUUGCUGCUAGACAUCAGAUAAAAACAGACCAGGCUUAUUACUUUACUGUGCGUGACAAGCUACGCCUUACACUCGCGAUUUGUAUGACACUUUGUGUUGUGUGCGUGCGUCGCUCAAAUAGAGGUUAACUGUCAAGCUCAAUUUUUAUCGACGUUUUCACAGCUGCCACAGUCUAUCUAGACGUAUAAAUGAUCUAAGGUAAGAUAGUUAUGAGCUGGAAUUUUCGAGAGUAUUAUUUAAUUUUAGUUGUUAGUAUUGUAAUAAAAAACUAAUUAAAUUUAUAAUUUGUUCUGUAUGGAAUGAAUUUGAUCAGUAUUGUAUUUAUAUAGGAUUGAGAAUUAGUAGUUAACGGGAUCUCAGGAAUGGACACGACUUAAAAUAAGAACUUUGUGAGAAGCUCAAGAUUAGAACAGUCUUAAAUAUGCUGCCGCUGUCUCUGCUACCAUCUGUCAUGUUUUAGACCAAAGACUUCUAAUAAACUGCGAGUGGGGUAGCAUAUCGCAGGCACCCGCUUUACGACAUCGCCCCGAGCAAUGCCAUUAAGCCACACAAUAUACAUGGUUCUAUCUAGAGAGGUCAUCAUAUCGUUCGUGAUACAGUAAUGACACAUACACAAACAUAACACUGUAAAAUAGAUGCGAGAUUCGUUGAUAAUAUAAAACUGGAUAAAGUAUUUAGUUUCAUAAAUACUGAUAAAGCAUUUAGCUUUACUUUUAUUCAAAUACACACAUCAAAAAAGUCUAAGCAAUAUGUACUAAUUUAUAUUUUAGGAUGGUUUUUCACAUUAUAACGUUGUAUUUUAUUUUUGAAAUAAUAUUUUGAGGGUCCUAUGAUGUAAAAUGGGAAAUAGUUAUCGGUGGGCACCUAAUUGGGCGUCGAGCUCGUAGGCCGUACUCAUGGAGUCGAUUUCGCACAGUUUGGGGACUUACAUUAACACCACUUGAAUUUUGUAGCCUCAAACUUAUCUCUCGAGCGGUUAACAUCGGCUGGUGUCUUGCAGUCAGUUGUAUGUACCGGUCUUGCCGAUGGUUGUACUCCUUUUACGGCCUGAAUGCUGUCCAGCGGGUUCCCUUGUAUUAUUCUAGCGCUGCCAAAGACGACAAAUAACACUUCUAUGAAUGCCAAAAUGCCGAUAUACCUGAGAUUGAUUACUUCCCGCUUGCAACCUCCCUACAGCUCUUUGCAUUUAAUUUGCCGUCAAAUGACGUCGCUCCAUGACGUAAAGAAUAUCUAACAAUUCAAUUUUGUUGCUAACUUAAUUUAAAUAGUUGGUAAAAUUAUAAAAUCAAGACUAAACGUAGCAAUAAAAACGCACUUAAAUUUAAACAAAUUCCCUUUCAUUUAAUUUUAUGAAAAAAAAAACAUAAUCGAUUUUUUUUUACAACCAGCCAGUAUGUCAUCAAUAACAAAAAAGUUUACAUACCUAUGCACUUUGAGUAUAUAAAAACUUAGAAAUUAAGUAAUAUAAAUGGUAAAUUUGUAAUAUCAUGCAUGUUGCUUUGACUUUUUUGAUGUGUGUAUGUAUCCCCAUUGCUUUCUUAGCAACAUCGCAUUCGAUGGAACCACUGAGAGAAGUAGUCAUACUCUUCUCUAGGUCAUUUUGAUUGCUAUCGCAAUACGAGUACAUCAUCGGGUUCGCAGAUAUUUCUAAAUUCGAAAUUUAAAAAAAACUUCUUCGAAUUUAUUUCUAAUCAGCCAGUUCAAAAAAAUUAAAUGUUACCCUUGUACCUAGUCGUGCAAAUUGCGUUCUUUAAGGUUCAUGUUAACUAUUGGAUCUGAAUUGACUAUUCUAUUCUAGUUUUGUAGUAAAAUUUAAUCUUAUUUUAAAUCCUCAUUGUUCAUAGUAUUAUCCUAAUUAAGUACUUUGAUUAAUUCUCAAAAUGAUUCGACCCGUUUAACUAUUUCACUUUCGCAAUAAUAAAUACAACUCAGGCAUAAAUAUAUAAAUAAAUAUCUUCUCUAAAAUGUAUUUGUAAAGUUUUGUAUCACAGUCAUAAAAUCCAAGUGUUCAACUGUAUUGGUCACACUUGAACAUCUCAUACUUCAAUGUGAAAGUCACAAAUUCAAUUUUGACUGUACAUUUAAUAUUGAAUGCAGGUUUUAACUAUGUUAGUUAUAUGUAUGUAGUUAAAAUUUUAUCGCAGAGUAGAGACAAUUUCUUAUACUAAGUGAUUUUAGUGACUAAGAGGACAUUUAUAUAAGGCGCGCUAAUAACCGGCUGUAGGCAGUCAUUAAAAUAAAAUAUAGUCUCUAUUUUAUUUUUUAUUUAUUGUGUAUUGUUCACAAUAAAAAAUAUUAAAAUGUAAACCAUAUAAGGUUUAUCAAGGGCACGAAAUUGUUCUUAAAUACUUACACAUAUUGCUGGCUCACUAUUACAAGGUUCUCUCUAUGUUAAAAUUUUAGCACUUAUUAAAUUAUUAAUGCUACAAGGUUCUAUGUGUCAAUAGCUAUACUUUUGCAAAAAUGAACCACUAGAUGGCAGCACAUUUAAUACAAAAUAUUCAAUUUUACAUAGUCAUAUGUUGUUUUUAGUUUACGAAUGAAAUAACAAAGUUUUAUGUUAAACAUAGAACCAUUUAAUUCUGGUUUUUAUUUAUUUGUAGUGUAACAAAUUAUACUGACCUUAGGUUAAGGCAGCCCAAUGCAAAAGUCAAGUUCCCAUUUUAUCACACUCAGCUUUACGUAAGUAAAGUCUGAGCAAAAUCUUAGUACGAUCUUAUAGAUCUCGGCAUAAGACAUAAAUACGUUAAAAAUAGUUUUUUCAAUAUACUCUGCCUUUUCUAGAUUUUUCUAAUAUGUUACUGCAGCAAACUAUUAAGUAUAUCUGGCAAUAAAUAUUUCCCAUUUCCGCAUACCAUAUGCAUUGUUACAUCUGUAGUUAGUAUGUUUGUAUUUAUCCUUAUUACUUAAAUAACGUUUGUUAUUCGCUGAUUACCAUUUUUUAUUGUAGUACACGGUUGUACCAUGAUUUUAUUCCAUUUUGUACAGUAAGUAUAUAAAUAUUUUUUAUUUACGCGCCGUAUAUGAAAAUGAGCGGGUUAGCAAAUUGUAGUUCAAUAGCCGAAAUUGUCUCUGCGCCGCGAUGUGUGUACUUUAUUGUUGUACUGUGUUGUACCAUUCUAAUUGUACUAUACUUAAUAUUUAUUGUACAUAUAUACAUUGUAUAAAACAAUAAACAUACCUAUUUCUAUACUUUA